rnacentral:rRNA from 1 species
GAUGAACGCUGGCGGUAUGCCUAACACAUGCAAGUCGUACGAGAGUUUUUAACUCUAGUGGCGGACGGGUGAGUAACACGUGAGAAUUUGCCUUUAGGAGGGGGACAACAAUCGGAAACGAAUGCUAAUACCCCAUAUGCUUUCGAGUGAAAUGGAUUUUAUCCGCCUAGAGAGAAGCUCGCGGCUGAUUAGCUUGUUGGUAAGGUAAGAGCUUACCAAGGCGACGAUCAGUAUCUGGUUUGAGAGGACGAUCAGACACACUGGAACUGAGACACGGUCCAGACUCCUACGGGAGGCAGCAGUGGGGAAUUUUCCGCAAUGGGCGAAAGCCUGACGGGAGCAAUACCGCGUGAGGGAAGAAUGCCUAUGGGUUGUAAACCUACUUUUUCUAGGAGGAAUAAAAUAGACGUGUACCUGAAGAAUAAGCAUCGGCGUAACUCCGUGCCAGCAGCCGCGGUAAAGUGACUACU